UGAACGCUAGCGGCGCGCUUAACGCAUGCAAGUCGAGCGAUGAGUCUCCCUUCGGGGAGUACAUCAGCGGCAGACGGGUGAGUAACACGUAGAUAACCUGCCCUCAAGACGGGGACAACCGGUGGAAACAGCGGCUAAUACCCGAUAUGCUCACAGGAUCGGGAGGUCGAGUGAGGAAAGCGCCCCUUCGGGGGAGAGUGUUUGAGGAGGGAUCUGCGGCCCAUCAGCUAGUUGGUGAGGUAACGGCUCACCAAGGCGAAGACGGGUAGGGGGUGUGAGAGCAUGGCCCCCCACAAUGGGACUGAGACACGGCCCAUACUCCUACGGGAGGCAGCAGCGGGGAAUAUUGCGCAAUGGACGGAAGUCAGACGCAGCGACGCCGCGUGGGUGAGGAAGGCCUUCGGGUUGUAAAGCCCUUUUCAGGGGAGCGAGAAAGGACGGUACCCUUGGAAUAAGCGUCGGCUAACUACGUGCCAGCAGCCGCGGUAAGACGUAGGACGCAAGCGUUAUCCGGAUUUACUGGGCGUAAAGCGCCUGUAGGCGGUCAAGUAAGUCGGAUGUGAAAGCCCCGUGCUCAACGCGGGGAAGCCAUUCGAUACUGCGUGACUAGAGAACGGCAGAGGGAAACGGAAUUUCUGGUGUAGCGGUAAAAUGCGCAGAGAUCAGAAAGAACACCGAUGGCGAAGGCAGUUUCCUAGGCCGCAUCUGACGCUGAGAGGCGAAAGCUAGGGGAGCAAACAGGAUUAGAGACCCUGGUAGUCCUAGCUGUAAACGAUGGAUGCUAGGUGUGGGCCGGAAAGGUCCGUGCCGUAGUUAACGCGAUAAGCAUCCCGCCUGGGGAGUACGGCCGCAAGGCUAAAACUCAAACGAAUUGACGGGGACCCGCACAAGCAGCGGAGCGUGUGGUUUAAUUCGAUGCUACACGCAGAACCUUACCUGGGCUUGACAUGUAGGUGGUAGUGAAGUGAAAGCGGAGCGACCCUUCGGGGAGCCUACACAGGUGCUGCAUGGCUGUCGUCAGCUCGUGCCGUGAGGUGUCGGGUUAAGUCCCGUAACGAGCGCAACCCUUGUCCUUAGUUACAAGUGUCUAAGGAGACUGCCGGUGACAAACCGGAGGAAGGUGGGGAUGACGUCAAGUCAGCAUGGCCCUUAUGUC
rnacentral:rRNA from 1 species